GAUGAACGCUGGCGGCGUGCUUAACACAUGCAAGUCGAACGGUGAACACGGAGCUUGCUCUGUGGGAUCAGUGGCGAACGGGUGAGUAACACGUGAGCAACCUGCCCCUGACUCUGGGAUAAGCGCUGGAAACGGCGUCUAAUACUGGAUAUGUGACGUGACCGCAUGGUCUGCGUUUGGAAAGAUUUUUCGGUUGGGGAUGGGCUCGCGGCCUAUCAGCUUGUUGGUGAGGUAAUGGCUCACCAAGGCGUCGACGGGUAGCCGGCCUGAGAGGGUGACCGGCCACACCGGGACUGAGACACGGCCCAGACUCCUACGGGAGGCAGCAGUGGGGAAUAUUGCACAAUGGGCGCAAGCCUGAUGCAGCAACGCCGCGUGAGGGAUGACGGCCUUCGGGUUGUAAACCUCUUUUAGCAGGGAAGAAGCGAAAGUGACGGUACCUGCAGAAAAAGCGCCGGCUAACUACGUG
rnacentral:rRNA from 1 species